ACCCGCUGAACUUAAGCAUAUGGAU
rnacentral:rRNA from 5 species